UACGUAGGGUGCGAGCGUUGUCCGGAUUUAUUGGGCGUAAAGAGCUCGUAGGCGGUUUGUCGCGUCGGCCGUGAAAACUUGGGGCUUAACCCCAAGCUUGCGGUCGAUACGGGCAGACUUGAGUUCGGCAGGGGAGACUGGAAUUCCUGGUGUAGCGGUGAAAUGCGCAGAUAUCAGGAGGAACACCGGUGGCGAAGGCGGCUCUCUGGGACGGUACUGACGCUGAGACGCGAAAGCGUGGGGAGCGAACAGG
rnacentral:rRNA from 1 species